rnacentral:rRNA from 1 species
CCUACGGGUGGCAGCAGUGAGGAAUAUUGGUCAAUGGGCGCUAGCCUGAACCAGCCAAGUCGCGUGAGGGAUGACUGUCCUAUGGGUUGUAAACUUCUUUUGUAGGGGAGUACAGUGCAGUAUGUAUACUGCUUUGCAUGUACCUUAUGAAUAAGGAUCGGCUAACUCCGUGCCAGCAGCCGCGGUAAUACGGAGGAUCCGAUCGUUAUCCGGAUUUAUUGGGUUUAAAGGGAGCGUAGGCGGGAUGUUAAGUCAGGUGUGAAAGUUUGCGGCUCAACCGUAAACUUGCAGUUGAUACUGGCAUCCUUGAGUGUGUGAGAGGUAGGUGGAAUUCGUGGUGUAGCGGUGAAAUGCUUAGAUAUCACGAAGAACUCCGAUUGCGAAGGCAGCCUUCUGGCGCUUAACUGACGCUGAUGCUCGAAAGUGUGGGUAUCAAACAGGAUUAGAUACCCUUGUAGUC